UACAGGGGGUGCAAACGUUGCUCGGAAUCAUUGGGCGUAAAGCGCACGUAGGCGGUCUGUUAUGUCGGAUGUGAAAGCCCUCGGCUUAACUGAGGAAGUGCAUCCGAAACUGGCAGGCUAGAGUACUAAAGAGGGUCGCGGAAUUCCCGGUGUAGAGGUGAAAUUCGUAGAUAUCGGGAGGAACACCGGUGGCGAAGGCGGCGACCUGGGUAGAUACUGACGCUGAGGUGCGAAAGCCAGGGGAGCAAACGGG
rnacentral:rRNA from 1 species